rnacentral:lncRNA from 9 species
CACUGCGUUGCACGUUUCCAUGGGUUUUGUCAAAUGCAUAAUUUAGUCACCAUUUACAGCAUCUAACAGAAUAGUUUCAUGGCCCUACGAGUCUCCUAUGCUCCACGUAGUCAUCCUGUCCCCUGAACGCCUGACAAACGCUGAUUCUUUACUUCCUGAAUGCUUUUACGUUUUCCCAGAUGUCACAGAGUGGGAAUCACAUGGUGUAUACCUUUUUGGCUUCUUUCACUUAGCAACACGCAAUUACCUUUCCUCCAUGUCUUUCUGUGGCUGGCUAGAGCUUUUCUUCUCAUUACUAGAUAAUAUUCCCUUGGAUGCAUGUACUAUUAUUUGUUUAUCCAUUCGCCUAUUGAAAAGAUUGUCUCCAAGUUUUGGUAAUCAUGAAGAAAGUUGCUAUUGAUGGGUACCGAUGUACAGAAUUUCCUACGGACGUAAGUUUUCAACUCAUCUGGGUAAAUACUGAGGAGCACAAUUGCUGGGUGGUGUGGUAAGAAACUGUCUAUUUUGUAAACUUUUGUAAGAGACUGUCCAUUUUCCAAAGUGGCUGUACUGUUUGGCUUUCCCACCAGCGAUGAAUGACAGUGUUCUGUUGCCCCAUGAUCUCACCAGCACUCGAUGUUGUCAGUGAUUUAAUUUGCAAUCACUAAUGACAGAGGAUGUUGAGUGUCUUUUCAUAUGUUUAUUUAGCCUCUGUCCAUUUUGAUGAAGUCAGAUAUGGUGCCCAUUUUUUGGCCAUGCCUGUGGCAAGUGGAAGUUCCCAGGCCAGGGACAGAACUUGCUCCACAGCAAAGACCCAAGCCAUUGUAGUGACAAUGCCGGGUCCUUAACCCACUGAUCCACAAGGGAACUCCUGUCCAUUUAUAAGAGUUGUUUAUAUUGUUGAGUUUUAAAGCUCUUUGUAUUUUUGAAAAAAAGUCAUUUAUCAGAUACAAGCUUUUCAGCUGUUUUCUCCUAGUCUGUGGCUUGUUUUUUAAUUCUCUUAACAGUCUUUCACAGGCAGAUGUUUUUCAUUUUUAAUGAGAUCCAAAUUAUCAAAUUUUUCUUUGAGUACAGUUUUGUUAUUGUAACUAAAAUAUCACUGCCACAUCCAAGAUCAUGUUGAGAAAUCAUGGGCAUCUUUGUUGAGAAGGAUGCAUAUUUCUCUCUGGCUACCCAAAAUUCAUGAUUUUUUUUUUCUGAGCCUUUAGGAAACCUCUUGGGAAUGAAACAGUGCAUAUUUACUCAUAGGAAGAAAGGGGUGAGUGUGCCUUGAAAUCAUGACAUCCACUGCUAUAUACCUACGAAGUCAUGGCCGUUAUAUACCUGGUUUAUUGAAAGCUCCCUUUUAUAAGGGAGAAACAUAUUCCACUUAGUUCAAUUAUUAAUAUCAGCAAUGAAUAAACUGCUGACAUCUUCCCCAAAGGAUAAAUCAAAGAUCAUCAGCCACAGCUAGAGAAAGGCAGGAUAUACUUCCUCUCCGGUAUGACUCAAGAGAGGAAACAGACCAAGUUAAAGAGAGUGCUAACCCCUCUAGUGGCAGAGUGGAUCUUUAAAGAGAAAGGGGCCGAUAUAAAAUUCUGUUCCUGAAAAUUUUAUGUUUAUCUUUGAAAGCUGAGACUACAUCGUAAGGCAUAAUAAGCUUAAAUUUUUGAUUUAGCAUUCUGAAAAGAUGCUGCCAUUUAUUUCGAAGAGGCUACCAUUGCUCAAGACACUCUCAAAACUAUCCCUGGAAUUAUGCUUUUUCAAGGCACUUAUAAGAAAUAAAAAUAAUUCAAAUUGCUUUUUAAUCUCAAUUCAAAAUGAUGCGUAUUGGAAAAUAGAGGUUACUACUAAAACAUAAAACAUUAAUUUGACAUUUCUCAGAUUCAAAAAAGAAUCAAAGAAUCUAUGAAGGUACAACAGCAAGAGUGAACUGUCAUGUCAGCCAUGGACUCUGGGUCAUGAUGAUUUGUCAGCGCAGGUUCAUCAGUUUUAACAAAUAUACCAUCUGCUGGGGAUGCUGAUAAGGGGGAACAUUAGGAAAGUAUGGGCCAAGAGGCAGAUGGAAAAUUUUGACUUCCCACUCAAUUUGGCUGUGAACUUUAUACUGCUUUUAAAAAAUAAAGUCUAUUUAAAAAAAAAAUUGUUAAAAGGAUCCAUGUACAACCAUACAACAUGAUUCAUCCUUAAAUAGGUCCAAUUAUUGCAAAUACACAUUAAAAAGUGCCCCUAAUAGGUUUAUCAAGUCUUAUUCCCUACCGAAAGAAAUGACAUAUGCAUUUCUUCCCUCCUGGUUCAUCACACCCGGUAUCUUAUUCACUUAAUUUUUUUUUUUUUCACUAAAACUGACAUUUUCAUCUCACCAGUAACUGCUGCAUAGAAUAAAGUUUCUGGACCUUAUCCCUCCCUUAAAUAAUUACGAAGAAUCCAACAUUCUGUGCAGUUACUUACUUUCAUUACAACAUUAAGCUACUCUCUCUUGAUGGAGUCAGUGCUAUUAGAACUCAUUUCCCUGAGGUCUAUUUCUCCCUUUUAUGUUUUCAGCAGACUCUCAGUCUCCUUUUCUAAUUUAGAUUAUUAACUCAGGGGAAGGGACUGUGCCUUACCCUAUAUCAACUACGUGUUCAAUAAACAUUAUUAAUUAUUAUUAUUAAAAUUCAUAAUGAUGUGAGGCUUGGCCUAAUCAAUUUUAAUUCAGACUCAUCUAGUUCAAUUCAAUUUAAUUUAGGAGGUGCCGCCCUGAUAUAUUUUUUUAACCUAGACCUGCAAUUUAGCUCUGCAAUAGGUUCCUCAUUUAAUUUUUUUUUUAGACUCAUAAAUUUCCUUUAUAGGCAAGAAGUUUUCUUUGUGCUAUUGCUAAGAUGCAUUUUUAAUCUGACAAAUGCUCUUAAACUAUUCUUAUUUCCUUGCUCAUUCAGAAAUAUCAUCCAGAGCUUUUCAUGUUAAAGCUGAUUUUUCUCCCAGUGAAUUAAAAGAAGCUAACCGAAACAAAGUCACCUCUGGGAGUCACUUUUGAAUGUUGAAUGUUAGGAAUGUGGGAAGAAGAGCGGGGUGUGACCUAAUUGUUUCUGUGCUUUCCCAUAGCAGGGUGGAAGAUGGACUGAGCUGAGCAAGAGUGGAGACAAUAAGAUGCAUUGCAAGACUAUGGUCUUUUUCCAAGCUAGUGAUGACAGGGAUUGUAUGAAACUCGGACAGUAAAGACAUGGAGGUUUGCAUGUAGACAUUGAGAGGGGCAGGAAAGAAGAGCAAUUCCUGAUGGACAGGAAGCAGAUGGGUCAAGGAUGACCAUGUGAUACAGGGUGACAGUAGGUGAUACAGGAGGGGCAGUGAGCUGGUGGCGGGUGUGAAAGUGUGAGCCAUGAAUAUGAUCAAGGCAUGAAAUGAAGGUUUGGAAGAGUUGGGGGCCACCUCUUAUUAGGAAAGGACAGUAGCCCCCCAAGGGAGGACAGUGAGUAGAAUACAAAAUAGAGAAGUUCGAGGUUGGGAAUACAGAAAAUGCCAAUAUUGAUGGAGACAAAGAAAGGCAUGCAAAUCAAAGGAGUAUUCUGAGGAGUGAACAGAAAAAAAGGGCAAUGAGGAAAACAUCAGGUUAGAUAAGCCAUCGGUUAUUUCACCAUCAGAAGCUCCUGAAAAGGAGACUAGUGCAUAAUUUGGACCCUCUGGCAUGUGCUCUCUCUCAAGAAGAGUCUCCCGUAUGAGGCACUGUGAACAGAGCUGACAUGCAUCUGAGGGGGGUUACUGAGCUGGCAGGCACUGCACACGUCUAGAGGAAGUUUGAGGUGGUAUCUCUUCUGAUAAAUUAGCCUGUAAAGUGCUCAAUAUUUUUCUAGAUAGAGUAGCUUUCUCUACUUCCUUCUAGCUAUCUGGCCGACGCUGAAUAUUUCAGUGUCCACUCCUUCGUCUAUUUCAGCCAUGGCCAUCAUCUCUCUAUGCAACAUCCAGUGAUGGCUCAACCGAGGAUGUGUUGAAACAAACAUCUGCUCAUGCACAUCCUGUUGAAAUACAGACCAAAGCCCCAAGCAUUUUUAGCUGACAAGUUCUCUGUACAGAUGCAGCGCUUUACACUUAGCCAGAAGCAUUCUACGUGCCACAAGCAGGCACAAGUGUGAUCCUUAUUGCCGUAACAUAGGCAGAUUUUCCUCUGAGUUCUCUAAUUCCCAUGACGUUCUAACCAGGUUUAGCUGUGAUGUUACGGUCUAAAUGAUAAGGCUUUGGAUCGUCAUGAGAAGGUCAAAAUGAAGUCAUUUUGAUUUAUUUGGAAUAAAACAAGCAAAUGAUAAAAAUCUGUGAUUUCCAGAAGCAACAAAUCUUCUAUUGGAGAUGGAGUGAAUGAGAAAACUCAUAAAAGAAAAUUUCAAGCUGAGGAUCCCACCAGGCUGAUCUACCACAGAGAUGAUGAGAAGUUGCAUGUAGUGGAGAACAGAGCACAAGGACAGGGAUUAGAGUCAGGGCAUUGUACUCCUGACUGAAUUAAUGCUCUUGUCUCCACUAUCAAUAUCUCUAAAGUGUGGGUGUGUGACACGAGAGCUCUAAAAGGAAGUCACCUGGACACACGUGGACCAAAAGAGGUACUCAAGAAACUCUAGGUGCCCUUCUCCAAUGAUAAUCUUGGGCUAUGAUUUUAGAGCUAUUGGGCACACGCAAAUGUUGUGUUUUGGUCAACUCCACUCCAAUGCACGUGAGCAGCAACUUCACAGUAAAUAUAAGAAUCACCUUUUCGCCUUCACUGCUUACCUGAUGUCUUCCACAGAAACAAUUUUGAAUAUAAUGUUUUUGCUAUGAGGGAAAUGAUUGCAUUAUCUAAAGCCAGGUCAUGAUAUGGGCAAACUGUCAUUUCUUCCCUAUAACCGUGUCAGGAACUCCAGGGUAGAUGGUCUAAUCCAUAGUUUCCAUGAUGCAACCCCCAAACACUUCAGGUCAAUUAUUAAAUACUGUAAAAUAGAAAGCAAACCACCCCAAAACCUGUCCAAACACUCGUUUAUGUAAUGAGGACACAUAAUGGGUGAGCUUUUGAACAAGUCAUAGACGAGACAGAGAGUUUAAAAAUGGUCUUCAGAGUUCCCACUGCGGCACAAUGGGAUCAGUGGUAUCUCUGCAGUGCUGGGACGCAGGUUUGAUCCUGGCCUGGAACAGUAGGUUAAGGAUCUGGCAUUGCCCCAGUUGCAGCGCAGGUUGUAUACUGUGGCUCAGAUCUGAUCCCUGGCCCAAGAACUCCAUAUGCUUCCAGGAGGCAAAAAAAAAAAAGAAAGAAAGAAAAAAG